GCUGAGGUUGACCUUGAACUUGUGACCUUCCUACCUCAGCCUCUCAAGUUGCUGGGAUCACAGGUAUAUGUCACUGCACCUUGCAAAUCAAUGGAAAUGGACAGUGUGACUCAGCCAAAGCCAUGUCAAGCAUAUGAAAGGACAUCACCACCUGCAUUGCUGCUAUGGAACAUGACCUUCAAGUCACCAUUGGACCAUCUAGGCCAGCAAGAACAAAUUCCUAAACAUUUCUGCAGGAUUUUGCAUCAUGAGUUAGUCAUCUCAGCCCAGGUCUCAAGCCUGUCUUCCAGCAGCCAACCAGGAGGAAUCUGGCUCCCUCUCCUACCAAGACCCAUACAGUGAGGCAUAGUGGGUUUUCAGAUGCUGAUGGGCAAUUAUGAUCAUGACAGUACAGUCCCUUCUACCUUGAGGUCUCACAGCUUAUUGGUCUGAAAAUGGGGAAAACCAGAAAUAACUUGAAUAGCACAAUAGGGAACAAAUUAUGAAGUAAGAUCCUGCUCUAGAGAAUUCCUCCAACUAAUGCCGGAGAGGGUAACUUCUGACCCAGUGACAACAGAGACUAGGUCAGAAAGUAAGAACACACAGGCAAUGCUCUCAUUAGUUGGGGUGGGAGGGAUGUUGACUGAAGGAGGAGGAGAGAGAGAAAGAGAGGAAGGAAGAGGGAAAAGGACAGGGAGAGAGAGAGAGAGAAACAGGGAAAGGGGUAAGUGGGGGAGAUCAUGCCACUCCUAGAACAAAGGAAGAAUAAGUCUUUUUCAUGGUACCAGGGAUGGAAGCCAGGGGGACUCAAUCACUGGGCCAAACCCCCAGCUCUUCUUAUAUUUUAUUUUGAUAUUGGGUCCCCUUAAGUUGCUUACAGCCUCCCUAAAUUGCUGAAACUGGCCAUGAACUCCUGAUCUUCCUGCCUCAGCCUCCUGAACCACUGGGAUUACAGGCAUGCACUGGACAAGGACUAAGCCUUUCAACAGGUUGCUGGGGUAGGCUAGGGAGAAGUCUUAUGACUUGAGGGGGCCAUCUGGUUCCUAUGAGAUGAUUCUCCUGCUUAGAAGAAUGGGUAAUUGCUCCUGCUUGAGAAGGAGGGCAGUGUCGCUUCAGUUGUUUCUGGAAGGGUAGGACAAUGACUGAAGACUUCUAGGCAUCCUUCAUGGGGUCUGGAACAGAACAUUGUAAAAUCUGGCAAUUGAGUGUCCCUGCAAAUGUUGAAAAUAGCUUAGUUAUUCUUAUCUUGGUGUGCUCAGUCUUGAAAGGGAAAGGUUAGGUAAAUUUAGGGCUAAUAAACCUUGUUUGACCAGUUUAAAGAUAAACACUCCUUAAAUUAAUAUGUCUAUAUGCAGAAAUGAGCAAGAAUCUGACCCAAAGUUUAAGACAAAUGAGACAGAUCCAAAAUGGAGAAGGCAAUGCCAGUUUUGAUCCUUCUUCAGUUACCUCUUGGGCGUCAGCAGGCCCCAGUGAGGAUUUGGUGGUUUUUCUAGCAAAAGAAGUUAAUCCCUGUUACAAUCCAGGGCUUGAGCUUGUCUAGUGUUUGUGGUACUUUUAAUGGGAAAUAGGCAAUGGGUUAAAGCCCUGAGAGUACAUCUACCCUCGCACCCUGUAAUCGUCCCUGUCUCACAAUCAUCUCCCAAAAAUCUAAUUUUACAAAACCAUCCCAUCACUAAGAGAGACUAAUGUCAAGAUGAAAUCUCAUAAGAAUCUAUUUCUUGGGCAUUUUUUUUCCACACAGGGAAUUGUACAAAUCUAGCUAUCUUUGACUGAAGUUUCCCCAUCAACUACAUCAAGACAGAUGGGCUCCUCCUUGUAAGUCCAACAGCACUGGAUCCUUCCAGGGCACUUCCAGAUCUGCAUCCAGAACUGAAAAGGACUUAAGUGAGCAGCUACUCAAGAAGGGGCAGGGAGCCAAACCUUCCUGCCAGCUUGCUGUGCAUAAGCUAAAACAACCUGCCAGGUAGAGUAUUUUUAUUGCCUUAACAGCUUGAAGAGAGAAGUAUCUAAAGAAACUCGGCUGGCUACAAAAGGUUUGAAUGAGAAAAUGUCUCUUUUGUCUUUUUGAAAAAUUCCCCCCCCCCAGUCAUUUUUAUCAAUGUGCUUUUAUUUGGCACCUUAUAUAUACAAGACUCUUAGGUCAGCCACUUUGAAGAAGCAUCUUAUAGCUCAAGAUAUUAUUCAGUUAAGCAAAUAAAAU
rnacentral:lncRNA from 1 species